rnacentral:piRNA from 1 species
UGGGAUUCCUCAGUAGCAAGUGCUCAG